rnacentral:rRNA from 1 species
GUGAGGAAUAUUGGUCAAUGGACGGAAGUCUGAACCAGCCAUGCCGCGUGCAGGAAUAAGGUCCUAUGGAUUGUAAACUGCUUUUAUUCGGGAAUAAACCUCUUUACGUGUAGGGAGCUGAAGGUACCGAAGGAAUAAGCACCGGCUAACUCCAUGCCAGCAGCCGCGGUAAUACGGAGGGUGCAAGCGUUAUCCGGAAUCAUUGGGUUUAAAGGGUCCGCAGGCGGGCUAUCAAGUCAGAGGUGAAAUCCCACAGCUUAACUGUGGAACUGCCUUUGAAACUGAUGGUCUUGAAUUAAGUGGGCGUUGGCGGAAUAUGACAUGUAGCGGUGAAAUGCAUAGAUAUGUCAUGGAACACCGAAAGCGAAGGCAGCUAACGAUACUUAUAUUGACGCUCAUGGACGAAAGCGUGGGUAGCGAACAGGAUUAGAAACCCUUGUAGUCC